rnacentral:rRNA from 1 species
GGAGGGUGCGAGCGUUAAUCGGAAUUACUGGGCGUAAAGGGUGCGUAGGUGGUUAUUUAAGUUAUCUGUGAAAUACCCGGGGCUUAACCUGGGGGGGGGGUCAGAUAAUACUGAGGAACUAGAGUAUAGGAGAGGGCAGUGGAAUUUCCGGUGUAGCAGUGAAAUGCGUAGAUAUCGGAAGGAACACCAGUGGCGAAGGCGACUGCCUGGCCUAAUACUGACACUGAGGCACGAAAGCGUGGGGAGCAAACAGGAUUGGAUACCCUGGUAGUCCACGCUGUAAACGAUGUCAACUAGCCGUUGGUCAUAUGAAGAUGAUAAGUGGCGCAGCAAACGCGAUAAGUUGACCGCCUGGGGAGUACGGUCGCAAGAUUA